GAUGAAGAACGUAGCAAAAUGCGAUAAGUAAUGUGAAUUGCAGAAUUCAGUGAAUCGUCGAAUCUUUGAACGCACAUUGCGCCCGCCAGUAUUCUGGCGGGCAUGCCUGUUCGAGCGUCAUUUCAACCCUCAAGCACAGCUUGGUGUUGGGACUCGCGUUAAUUCGCGUUCCCCAAAUUGAUUGGCGGUCACGUCGAGCUUCCAUAGCGUAGUAGUAAAACCCUCGUUACUGGUAAUCGUCGCGGCCACGCCGUUAAACCCCAACUUCUGAAUGUUGACCUCGGAUCAGGUAGGAAUACCCGCUGAACUUAAGCAUAUCAAUAAGCGGAGGA
rnacentral:misc_RNA from 1 species